UCAACCUCUAAGUAUUGGGGAGUAGGCUGAAAGCUUCACAGGGAUUCAUUAUCCCACAUCUGCCUAUUGCUGGACUCUUUCGCCUUCCUCUAAGGCACCUGGAACUGACAACUAUCAGCAACACUGUACAAGGCUGGGUUGAAAUUCCAGAAGCUGGUGGGGAAAGGUUAUGUAAAGAGGAUUGUUGAUUAAAACUCUCUCCCAUCAAAAUGGAAUAGCUGUAAACAAUAGACUGACCCCCAACCAGGAGAACUGAUUCAACAGGGCAGAGGUUGCUUGGAAAGGAAGUCACCUAGUAGGUGUGUCUGGUCAUCUGAGGAGGCUGAUCAGGAAGUUACCAGACAGAGGGAUGGAAGGGUAGAAACUGCUCUUGUUUGCCCUCUGUUUCUGAUGUAUCUCACCAGCUCAAGCUGAGAGGAGAUGCAAGUAGGAUCAUGAAGAGGCAAGAGAAACUCUGCUUUCCUAAACACAGUUGGAUUCCCAAGUGUGGAAGAAGAUAAUGAAGAGAGAGGAGCAGACUGCCUGGCUGUAAAUCUAACUGCAGAACACGUGGGAUCCCAAAAUUGUCCUGCUACAAUCUGUGGUAGCAGAAGAUGCUCAAGCAGCCUUUUUGCAGUAAUGAUGGUGGAUGCUCAAUGGACAGUUGAAGGACUUUAUUUGCAAGCUGACAGCCUGCACUGAAAACUUGAGUCAUUGGCCUUUUGACUGGUGAGUGGGACAAUGUCUUCAGCCAACAGCCCAAAUUAGCUGAAGAGGGAAAGUGUUAUGGGAAUGGUUAAUCCUAAUGGCACAACUGUCAGAGCUGAUAAAGUAUUCUAUUUGUUGGUACCACCAAAACCAGUGCAAGCAUUGACAAGGCAUCCACUAUCUCUCUAUGACAGCUCUUUGGAUCCUUCAUUGUCCCUUCACCCUCAAGACAAUGAGACAGACAUCACAUUUUGUGUUUACUUCUUGUGGAAAAUUCUCAGGUACCACUGGGAUGGGGAGCUUUAAAACGACUUAGCAAGACAGAUCAUCUUUCUGACAAAUCAAAGUAUGAAUCAGAAUUGGAAAGAUAUUUGCAAACAUUUUUGCCCACUAUUCACUCACCUGAACUUACAAAUGUGGGACCAGAUUCAGUACCUGGCUUCUGCAGAACCCAAGCUCCUGGGUGCUGGCAACAGAAUGUCUGUGUAGAAUACAGAUGAAGUGAUUGUAACCUUCCAUCAGGAGCUUGCUGAUGUACCUCAGAAAGUGGAUUGUUUGCCUAGAUGAUCUCAAUAUUGACAGCACAUUAAACAGGUGAUAAGAAGGUACACUUUGUAUGGACGGUCACCCACACUGGAACUCUGACAAUGAACCCAAGAACAUGAACAAUCAAAGUAAAGCAUCUUUCAUCUUUUAAAAUAUUUCAUGGUUUUUUAUAUCUGAUUUGAUUUAGAAUGAUUAACGCAGUAAAAGGCUUAAACUGUUCUGUUUGGAUGUAAAAUGGAUUUAAUUUUCAGCACAGUUCCCAGCUGAUGGGU